GCGGGAUAGCUCAGCCGGUUAGAGCGCAGGAUUCAUAAUCCUGAGGUCGAGAGUUCGAGUCUCUCUCCCG
rnacentral:tRNA from 1 species